GCACUGAAGAAAGGAACUGGAAA
rnacentral:piRNA from 1 species